rnacentral:rRNA from 1 species
UGCCUGCCCAGUGACACUGUUAAACGGCCGCGGUAUCCUAACCGUGCAAAGGUAGCGUAAUCACUUGUCUUUUAAAUAAAGACUAGAAUGAAUGGCCAAACGAGGCUCUACCUGUCUCUUACAAACAAUCAGUGAAAUUGAUCUUCCUGUGCAAAAGCAGGAAUAAUAUUAUAAGACGAGAAGACCCUGUGGAACUUCAAAUAUAAAAUCAACUGUCACCAAUAUCAACUCAACAGACCUAUAACAAACAGAACCUGAUUUUUAUUUUCGGUUGGGGCGACCUUGGAGUAAAACAAAACCUCCAAAAAAUAAAGAAUCCUUUUAACAUAGAGCAACAACUCAAAGUGCUUCCAGCAAAACGAUCCAAUAUAUUUGAUCAACGAACCAAGCUACCCCAGGGAUAACAGCGCAAUCCCAUUUUAGAGUCCAUAUCGACAAUGGGGUUUACGACCUCGAUGUUGGAUCAGGACAUCCUGAUGGUGCAGCCGCUAUCAAGGGUUCGUUUGUUCAACGAUUAACAGUCCUA